rnacentral:rRNA from 1 species
GAGCGGCGUACGGGUGCGGAACACGUGUGCACUGCCUUUAUCUGGGGGAUAGCCUUUCGAAAGGAAGAUUAAUACCCCAUAAUAUGUUGAAUGGCAUCAUUCGACAUUGAAAACUCCGGUGGAUAGAGAUGGGCACGCGCAAGAUUAGAUAGUUGGUGAGGUAACGGCUCACCAAGUCUACGACCUUUAGGGGGCCUGAGAGGGUGAUCCCCCACACUGGUACUGAGACACGGACCAGACUCCUACGGGAGGCAGCAGUGAGGAAUAUUGGACAAUGGGUGAGAGCCUGAUCCAGCCAUCCCGCGUGAAGGACGACUGCCCUAUGGGUUGUAAACUUCUUUUGUAUAGGGAUAAACCUACCCUCGUGAGGGUAGCUGAAGGUACUAUACGAAUAAGCACCGGCUAACUCCGUGCCAGCAGCCGCGGUAAUACGGAGGGUUGCAGGCGUUAUCCGGAUUAUGGGGGUUUAAAGGGUUCCGGUAGGCCGGAUUCUGGUAAAGGUUCCAAGGUGGGGGUGGAAAAAUUUUCUUUCAAACAAGGGUUUUUAAAACUUUUGGUUGGGAAAAAUUUUGGGGGCCAUUUUUGGGGAUUUAACUUUUG